AUGCAAACAUUCCCAGCCCCGUGCUUUUGUGCAGGCAUCUCGCUGUAUGCGCUGGGCACGGAGCGGCGCGCGCGCGCUCGCCUUUCCCUCGGCGGCCCCCCGCGGCUCGGACCCGGGACUGCAGACAGGCCAUCCAUCAUUCGCCCUCCUCCCGCGAGCUUGGCUGCCGCGGCCAAUCCGGCGGCAGGUGGGGCCGCACCUGCAGGACAGCCCGCCACUUCCCUCCGCUCUCUCCGCCGCGCCCGGCGUGUUAGCGAUGCCCUUGUGAGCCACUGCAUUCUCCAAGGCCAGAACGAGACAGUUGAGGAUGGUUGUACUUCUCCACGUUCUGAGACCAGUUUAAACAAAAACAAAAAACAGACAACAACCUUGCAAGGAAAGGAAUUCAGAGUAAAUAAACAGUCUUUUUCUGUGAAGUAAAAUAUUUCCCUAAGAUGGGGAAAUUGAGAUGAGCGCUCAUCCACAAGAUUACCCGUCAAUGAGCACCAAAAGCAACAAAAUCCACUAGUAAGACUGGGAGAUUUUACGUCAGGAAACUUACAUCAGUAUCAUCAUCCCAAGAAGCAGUAUCCAGGCUGUUUUGUCAAAAGUGUGCAUGGGAG
rnacentral:lncRNA from 1 species